rnacentral:rRNA from 1 species
GUCGAACGGUAACAGGUCUUCGGAUGCUGACGAGUGGCGAAGAGGUGAGUAAUACGUCGGGCCGUGCCUUGUAGUGGGGGAUAACUACUCGAAAGAUUAGCUAAUAUCCCAUGAGAUCUACAGAUGAAAGCAGGGGACCUUCUGGCCUUGUGCUACUAGAGCGGCUGAUGGCAGAUUAGGUAGGAGGUGGGGUAAAGGCUUACCAAGCCUGCGAUCUGUAGCUGGUCUGAGAGGACGACCAGCCACACUGGGACUGAGACCGGCCCAGACUCCUACGGGAGGCAGGGUGGGGAAUUUUGGACAAUGGGCGAAAGCCUGAUCCAGCAAUGCCGCGUGCAGGAUGAAGGCCCUCGGGUUGUAAACUGCUUUUGUACGGAACGAAAAGCCUGGGGCUAAUAUCCCCGGGUCAUGACGGUACCGUAAGAAUAAGCACCGGCUAACUACGUGCCCGCAGCCGCGGUAAUACGUAGGGUGCAAGCGUUAAUCGGAAUUACUGGGCGUAAAGCGUGCGGUUAUGGUUUUGUAAGACAGUGAUGAAAUCCCUGGGCUCAACCUGGCAACUUGUGAUUGUGACUGCAAGAGCUAGAGUGCGGGAGAUGGGGAUGGAAUUCCGCGUGUAGCAGUGAAAUGCGUACAUAUGCAACACGAACACGCGAUGGCGAACGCAAUCCCCUGGGCCUGCACUGACGCUCAUGCACGAGAGCGAGGGGAGCAGAUUAGGAUACAGAUACCCUGGUAGUCCACACCCUAAACGAUGUCAACUGGUUGUUGGGGUCUUACUUGACUCAGUAACUAAAGCUAACACGUGACGUUGACCGCCUGGACGAGUCCGAGCGUAAGACUCAAACUCAAAGGACUUGACGGCGCCCAGCAGAGCAGGAGGUGAUGUA